rnacentral:rRNA from 1 species
UACGAAGGGGGCUAGCGUUGUUCGGAAUCACUGGGCGUAAAGGGCGCGUAGGCGGCUUUAUAAGUCGGGGGUGAAAGCCUGUGGCUCAACCACAGAAUUGCCUUCGAUACUGUAGAGCUUGAGACCGGAAGAGGUAAGUGGAACUGCGAGUGUAGAGGUGAAAUUCGUAGAUAUCGGGAGGAACACCAGUGGCGAAGGCGGCGACCUGGACAGAUAUUGACGCUGAGGUGCGAAAGCGUGGGGAGCAAACAGG